CAAGGUUCCACUUUAGGUGUGCACUGUUCAAGGCUAAGGGCUGUUGAAUAAACUGCAAAACUCUUCAUCCUCUUCAGGGGCACCCUGAAAAUAGAAGACCAGUGGACCUCUGCAGACACCUAACAGGGAAACAUGAGUAAAAACAAUGAUUACAACACGAAAAACUCCUCUAACAAAUGAUGAAACCUAUCCUGUCAACCCCCAUUGUCUGAAAAGUUCAUUGAUGCAGUCUGAGUUCUUCUCAACUUUUAAGUCCUUUACUUGUUCCCUCAGCUCUGGAUGUUUACGUGGAUGGAUGUUGAGUGUGAAGAAAUUUGGAGCAGUGCAUCCUUUCAAAGUCGUGGCAGCUGUGUCCAUGGGGGAGCAGUGAAAAAUCUGUUGCUGCUGGUUUUAUAUAUAAAAAUAUGCUUGGUGUUAUUAGCAUUUGUUAGCAGCUCACUCAGUGCUUAGGACGUAGCAUUGGUUUGCUUACUUAACACUUUCAAUUCUCAGAGAUUAUCAGUGACAGCUCUGUGGCUUUCCUUCCUCUUCCCUGUCUCUCCAGCCACCCAACCUCCUCUCCUUCACCAGCUGGGCAGGGUCAGGCUGCCUCGGGAUGUCACUCGUUUAAAACAGAAUUACCUGGCUGUCAGUGAUGCUCCUGCUCCUGGAAUUGGACAAAAGAGAGCUAAAGAGAUUAAAUCCACCAGGUGGGAAUUGCAAGAGGAACUGUCUGGAUGGUCACACAACAGAUGCAUUUCAGAGAUGGAGGAGCUGAGAUGUUUGCAUUGACAUCACCCUCCACCAUGCUGCAAGGCUAAACACUCCAAACCUGUCCUCUUGGCACUUGGCUGUACCUGUGGAAAGAACAGUGCAGGCCUUUUAGAGGUCUCAUUAAAGCUUAAUCCAAGGAACGCUCUCACUAAACAGAAUUUUGAAGACAGCUCCUGCCACUGAUGUGAGGAUGUGUCCCCAGGACUGUUCAUCAUGCCCAGAAAACCUUGGCUCUGAAGCAGUGCUGUCCUCAACACUUGGGUUCAGCUGACAAUUUCAGCCAUGGAGUUCCUCAAUUCUUUUUUUUUUUCCCCCCUUGCUGAGGGCCCUUGCUUUUCAACAGAGGAGAUAUUGCUCUUUGCUGGGAAGAGCUCCGGUAAAUUCGGGCUGUUUUUCUGUGUUUGCUUUGUUCUCCCCUGUGCCGCAUCUGGGCUGUAAUUGCCCACAUUCUGUUUUUGUUCAGGCUUUCCAUUAUUCAUUAAUACCUUGUUUACUCUGUAAUGACUCUUUUAGGGUCCUCUGUGCCUCUGGGAUGCAUUUGCCAACACAAUGACGGUGGUUGACAUUUUGUAAGAGUGUUCCACACAGAUUUUUGUCUUCUUUGGUUGCCUGAGGAGGUUAUCUGCUAAUUCAGUAAAGCAACAAAAUAAUAUUUUGGAUCAAGCCAGGCAUGGGAUUGUGAGAAGAUUUCUGAGUUAUUAGCAUGUUACCUUUACUACACAUUCAUAAUUUUACUUGGUUUGAGGAAGAGCAGGAAUCUUAAUCAGGGAGAUAAAGUGAUGACAAGUGUGUAAGUGGAGGACAGUAUUAUAUCUUGUGAUGAGGUCCUUCAGUCAAUCUGAGGUUUAUAGUUCUUGUUGUCUUUUUAAAAUUUUGUUUUGUUUUGUUUCGUUCAAAGAAAAGCCUUAAAAAUUCAUCCAAAAUGAGAAAGAGAAGAAGGGGCUAUGAAUUAGUGAUAGGCAAUAACACAUGAAUUUUUCACAAUAUUUGUGGAACACUGUUCAAGGAGUUUUUAUAAAUAUUGCAAUACUGGUAAAACUUUAGUGGAAAGUAAUCCAUGGGUUUUCAGAAGGCUGUGACAUGGACAUAUUUCCCCUCAGCCUUCUAUUUGCUGGGUUUUAUUUCAACUUUUGUCAGUGUCAUACACUAUCAUGUAUGUAUUUAUGUUUUAUUAAGUUUUCUGGUACCUGUGGUGGUACCUGUAGUCCUGGAAAUGUAUUUAUUUUAGCAGUUAUAUUUCUUUUGGGGUAAAAAGGGUUCUUGUCAUUUUCAUUCUCUUAGAAUAUUCUGAGGAUUGUAGGCCACCUGAAGUGAAUGCACCUUCCCUCUGUUCAAAUGUGUGGUUGAUAACCAGGUCACUGCUUUUGGAACAGCCCAAAUGCAACCAAAACAGUAAACUCAAAAUAGCAGCGCUGGCUUCUGAAUGCCUAUGAGUGAAGAACAGCUCUGCAUUGUUACACAGCUACAGGGACAUUAUUUUCUCAUCUUUCAUCUAAUUUUCUUCCCAUCUGCAGAUUAAACAUCUGCCAGUUGGUAUUUAAAUGACAUGGGUAAUAUCCUGACUCUCAAAAUCAAAAUUCCCAUUAACUACUGUGGGACCCGGAAAGCUGUUGCUCUGUAAAUUCAUCUUCCCUCUUCCUGUGCUCUCCCCUCCCUGCUUCAGCACAUUUCCCAUUCCACUGUCGCUUCCUCGCAGGCAGUUCAUCUCCUUUCUGCCUUUGAUUGAUUGAUUUGCCUCAAUCAAUGUUAAUUUCACUUCCUUCACAAGCUCAGCUGUGCUCCUUAUCUGCGCUUUUCACUUUCUCAGCACUGCCACUGCUCUGUGUCUGAGAAAGAGGAAGGAGGGAUGAAAGAAGCUGAGAGAAGGAAGAGGAAAGGGCACAGUAAAGGCUGUUUCCCUUUCCCUGCUAUUUGAACUGACUCAUAAGGCUGUGUCUGGUUUGGAAAAAUCAGAGGAGUUUCCUCACCUAAAAAAUCAGAUUUUUUCAUGGAAAAAACAUAUGUAGCCUCACAAGCACACAUGGAAAAAUUGAACCUUCAGAAGCAAACAUUCAUUUUGAUACUAUCAAUCCAAGCCUGCACGAGAUGAAUUUCUGCAAAAAAUGAACUUUUAUAAAUAAUUCUUGCCCGAUGUUAUGUUUGAUUGGCUCACAACAGUGGAGGGAUGCAUUCUCAGCCCGAGAGCUGCAGAACACUUCAGCAAAUGAGGAAAUUCAGUUUGCAACAUGGAUUUGGAAACUCUCCAGUCAUUUAAGUUCUGAAAACCCAGCUGACACGGUGUGAGUAUUUCUGAGGGGCUGCGCAGAUUGAUCAAUUAGGGACAGAUGAGAUCAGUCUUUCCAAGUGGAUGCCUCGGGAAUGUGUGUGAUGGAAUACCGCUGUGAUUAAAGCAUCAGGGAUAUAAUCACCUCACCAACUUCCAGAAAUCUAUCACAGAUGGUUUGAAGUCAAGAGGGAUUCCUAUCUUGUCUCUUUAUAUUCAUGUCUCACUCAGACGUCUCUCAGAAGCAUUAGGAUAUUUCAGCAA